rnacentral:rRNA from 1 species
UACGUAGGGGGCUAGCGUUGUCCGGAAUCAUUGGGCGUAAAGAGCGCGUAGGCGGCCAGAUAAGUCCGGUGUGAAAGUCACAGGCUCAACCUUUGAAUGCCGCUGGAAACUGCCUGGCUUGAGUCCGGAAGGGGCGAGUGGAAUUCCUGGUGUAGCGGUGAAAUGCGCAGAUAUCAGGAGGAACACCAAUGGCGAAGGCAGCUCGCUGGAACGGUACUGACGCUGAGGCGCGAAAGCGUGGGGAGCGAACAGG